GGGGUGGAAUGAUACGCAUAUGAAAUGAUGCGUGAACUGUCCGCUGAAUCACUUUUCUUUGUUGUAAGAGGAACAGGUUCAUGAUACAAAAGCAAAACAUCAGAAAAUGUUUUUAAUCGAUGUUGAGAGGGAAAUAACACUAACAAGGCUGGGGCAUGGGCAGUGGGAGCAAGAGAGGCCUUAUAUGGCUGAUGCUGCGGGAGCUGGAUCCCUAAACAGAGGAGUGGAGAGGAGAGUCUCUCCUUUCCUGUGGUCACAUUCUUCCUCCCAUCAGGAUUCCUUGUCUUUGUUCCCUGCCUAGGUAAGCGCUGGGUAUUAUUCAGACAUGUAGACACGUCGUGCUCAUGAUUAGAUGCUUGUUCUUUGCCAGUAAGAGUUGUCUCAUUCUUUGUUCUUCUAUUCCCAGCACCCUUAGCAUCUGGAACAGAGCAGGUGAUGAAUAUCUCUCUGGAUCCCAUUCCUGGCUCUCCAGAGCUAUUCUACUCUGCCAAAGAGACCUCCUCCCUCUGGAAGCUCCCUCCACUCCUGGACUUCUCAGACUGGGCACAUUCCACAACGGUAGCCACUUCCUCAGAUGGAUGCUUCACCUCAGCUCCCAGGGCAGCUCUCCAACCUCUGACCCUCACCUGACACCCAGCUCUCACUUGUGGCUCCUAGUAGCUGCUAGCAUGCGGCAGCGGCCAUACCCCGGGCAACGACUUUGACAGGCCGGUUAAAUCUUGUGAGGGUAGCCAUCCGGUUGUCGACCCCUGGUGAACUAGGGCUUUGCUCACCCAGCAUAUGAAGACUGCUUUGGCCAAACAGACGGAAGAAACCAAUAAGAAGUUUCAACGGCUGAGAGGGCGACGCAGCAAAGCACUGUGGAGUGAUUAGAGCAUGUUGGAGCACAAAAGACAACAUGGCCAUCCAAUACAGCUGAGGAAGUCUCCAGGUGUAACGACUUUCCGUGCCAAUGGACCCAAGCUUCCAAAGCCGAGAGAGUGGGACUGUCUCUGUGCAUCGACUUUUCCACUUAAAUCUCCUUCACACACAAGUGUUUAUGUGCACACUCAUCUACAUCACAGAUGAAAACACACAAAGACAAUCAUCAUCCUUGGUUACCGAGAGACUACUACUAGAUGUGUGAGUAGAGAUAAAGGAAUUUUUAGAAGAGAUGUUGAAGCGAAAUACAUCAUAAGAUUUGGUGAAUGGAUAUUUGGAGCUAGUGAGAGGAAGAGAGAUUGAGGAUGACACCAAAGUUGUAAGUUUGAGUCAAUGAAAGGAUAUUGAUCCCCCAACCAUAACUGUGAAGUUCCAAAGAGGAGUGGGUUUGGGGUAAAGAUAAGAGUUUUCAUGUAAACUAUUGAGUUUGAGAUGACUUUGGUAUAUUCAACCAGAGAUGUCCAAGAAUGUGGGACUGGAACUCAGGAGAGGCAUUAGGACUGGGUAAAUAUAUUUGGGGAUUAUUUGCCUAAAGAUAGUAUUUGAGCUUGCGGGAACCAAUGAGAACACUAAGUGUUUUACAGUGAGAAAAAGUGAGGAGAACCAGGAGGGAUGCCUACAGUUAGUGGAUAUAACAUUAGUGAAGAUCCAGCAAAAAAUAAAAUAAAAAGGAACCAUUAUAUAGGUAGGAGU
rnacentral:lncRNA from 1 species